UCUAUGCUCGCUAUCCCAAGGUUCAUUGCGAUCCCAAGGUUCACUGCGGUUUUCCACAAGAUGCAGAAACUUUUGACAUAUGAAUUCAUCUUGACUAAGGUGGCAAAACCUGGAAUAACACCUGGGAGCCCUCCAGGAAUUCCUGACACUUUACGCCCAAGUCUCCUCAUGCUAACCGGGUUGCAAUAUGACAGUCUAGUCAGCAUAAACACCUGGACUCACCAAGCACACUUUGGUUCUCAGUGUUUUGUAAAAAUUGUUUUUGCUAUUCUUCAGUAAAUACUUGAAUAUGUUUUGAACUUAUUCUACUUUUGAUGUUUAAGUUCAGAAAGUUGUUAUUAUAAACAUAAUUUGCAUUUGUCAUGAACUUGACUUCUUGUUGUUGUGAAAGCUGUUUAUUAUAAUGGCAUUUCCAAAGGCAUCAUUUGAAAAGAUUUUUUGCAGUGCAGUUUUACUUGAGCUUGACAUACCAGAUGUAUGACAUGAAUAAAUAUCACAAAAUAAAUAUAAUAAUGAUAAUACAAAAUAUAAAUUUCCUUCAAUUAUAAUUGUUUUUAAUCAUUUAUAUAUGUAUGGUAAUAUAUUAUUGCAUUAAAAACUGUUAUAAAUAUAUAUAUUUUUGGUUUUUGCAUGUUUGCGUGAUUUUUUUUUUUUGUGGCAUUAUAAAUAAAUUCUAAAUGUUUCAUUAAAAAUGUAUU
rnacentral:lncRNA from 1 species